GUGUGCGCUGCUGACAGUGUUUUUUUUUCCCCCCGUCAGUUCAUGCGACGAAGGGUGUUCAAAAUGCGGCCGUGAUUUUUAUUUCCCAGCCCCAAAGUGAGCUGUGCAUUUCCCCCCACCCCGGAGUCGAAAGUAGCCGGUGAACAAAAUCUCAGUGCCAGGAAAACUAGUGAGAGAUGACUAAUGCGGAUUUACUGUAAAUCCCGGGAACAUUAUCUGGAACUGGUUAAGUUUUUAUUUUCUCUCUCGGAGGGAGUGAUUUAAAGUGGCAGUAAGAGGGAAGUUUUAAAUAAGAAUUUCAAUCCCUCGGUAUUUUUUUAUUUAUAUUUUAUUCCUCGGUAGGUGCGCUGUGCAGUGUUAUAUGUCUCGUUAACUUCGCUGUUUUGAUGCAAACUUUAAUGUGUAAUGCUGCCAAAGGUGUUGCGUUCUUGAAAUGUCAAUUUGGUCAAUUGUAGAACUGUGUGUAUAAAUACAGUGGGUUUUUAUCAUAGUUUUAAUCUUUUUUUGCGGGAGUGGGGUGGUCAAGUGUCUAAAAUAUUUAUGCCACCCAAACUGAUGACGUUGCUCAUACUAUCAUAAUAUCGUUUGAUAUUUAACCAUCUCUGGCGUACAAUUUUAUUCUAAUUUCAUUUCGGACAAAUUUAGGUAUUGUGAAAUCGUGCUGCAAACGUUUGACUUUGAAAAAAUGUACUUUGCAUCUAGUUAUAAUCUUAACAUCUGGAUGUGCUGCAGUGUUUCAUUAUGCAACCCUAUGAUUGAACUUUUUUCAAUCUGUUAUUUUCACAGGGACUCCAGACUACUUCAACCCAUUCCUCCGCCUCCCUCCAAUCUCAACUUUAUAUCCUGUAAAGUCAUUGGAUCAAAGUCUCUUGAGCUGUGGCCUUUGGCCUAGUGCUGAAUCAUGCAUUAAAGCCAAAGUGGAGGGCGGUACAGAAAUCUGGAAUGCAGUUCAGACAAAUAGGGGCCGACAGACUGGAUGGAAUUCAUAUCAUAUGUAAGAGGCAUCCCAGGAAUUCAUGGCAUCACAACUUGACUGAGUAACCCACAGUCCUGGAAUACAGGCCAUGGCAGUUUCUCUUAGCUACAGUACAGCCUCUCACUUUUGGAGAGUUGAAUGCCAUGAACUGCUGUUUCUCUGGCUAUCCUGCAGCCGUUCUUCACUGGCUAGUUUUAUGUCACUGUCAAGCAGCUAAAGCUGCCAGUUGAAGAACUGUUGAGGUUGGCCAUUUACAACAGGACACUGAAGAGGAUCUGAAUGUGCUGCUUUGUAGGCUAGAUGGAGUAGCCUGAUUGUGAUUCAAUGUCCUGUACAUAGUUCCACAAUCUCAGCUGGGAGAAGAUCAAAUUCAAGGGGUCAACUAACUUCCCUUAAAUCACUUUUAAGAGCUACUGAUAUUUGACGAAAGUCAACUUGCUGUGACAUAGUUUCUGCAUGAGGUUUUCUCAUUCUCACUUUGGUUUUAUUUGCUCUUUCAUUCUAGCUGAUGACCAAUCUCUUGUAUGUAUAGUCUUUGCUUUUAUGCCUGUCAGUGUUUGGAUCAUACAGUUUCAAAUGGAUCCUGCUCUCAAUUGAAUGCUAGCCUUGUGUUCCCUUUACAUCCAUGAUAUUUGUGCACCCCAAAGUGAUGGUCCUUCCCUCCUUGCUUCUUGUCUUAAUAAAAUUACUAUCCAUUCUUGAUUCAUUUUGUCUGAGACACUUGAUUAUUUUAGUACUUUGUUUUCCCCUUUUGGCAUUUUCUACAACAUACCCCCUGGAUCAGCAGGUGACCAUGAAGAUUCCAUGACUGACAAUGCUGCUCAAUGUCCAGUGUAUAAGAGUGCUCAACUGGAUCAUUUUCCAACCAAUUUAGGCAUAUUUAGCCCCCCACAGGGUGGGCCACAAGUCCAGUUCUGGGAAAAGCCAGAAUGGGAGCAUUGGUUGAUGCUGGUACUUGAAUCAAUGUGUCGUAAUACAAAUAAAAACAGAUGUGUGGAUAAGUGAGUUAAUUGAUGGAUUUUUAUUUACCAAUAAAAGAUAACCUGCUGCCCUGCCCACAUAGGUGCCCAAUGACAGGUUUUUAAAUUUCAGUACCAGCUUUAAAAAGUGAAUUCAAAACGGUAUCAUUGUACAGAUGUAUGAGAAACUAACCAAAUGCAAUCAAGAUAUUUAUGUGUGCAUCAGUUAAAUUGAACUCCGGCUACAGCCUCCUCCCUUUGAAUAAGCAGUUGUACACUGACAAAGAGGAGGUAUGCUGCCAUUGUCCAAAUAUUAAAAAUCAUAUUUUCCUGGAGUCUAAAUGUAACUGCCUCAUUGUUCUUUGUCACACUGAUGUGAAAGGCGCUAUACAAAUGUAAUUUUGUUGUUGUUAUUGCAAGCUUGUCAAAUACUUAUGGUUGAUCGUCAUGAAUCAGCUAGAGGUGACAAUAUGUAAUAUUUGAGAAAAUAGGAUUAUUUUCAAAUUGCAGCUUUUCAAGACUAAUUAUGAAAAUAAUGAAAGACUAUUUGCAUGUACAUUGUAGCACUAUUACCUGUGGUUUCACUAAUUAUAACCGGAUGGUGUUUUGGUGUUUGAAUUAACAUGUUACAUCUUGUGCAAAUAAUCAUUUAUAUGUUUGACAAGUGAUCCAUUGAAUCCUCAAAUGCAGCUGUGUCAUAAAAUGUGUGCAUAGCUGACCCAUAUAACUAUAGGUUUCUGGGCACUAAACUGAUCAGGCAAAUCUACCUGGCAUUGAAGGAUUACGCACUAUGAUUUUAGUGCUGAGCAAUUUUUUAAAAAAAUCUGAAUGUUUUCUGAUCUUGAUGGAAAUGGGUUGCAACUCAUUAAUAAAACUUAAGAAUUGUGAAGUAUCAA